UGGGGAAUAUUGGACAAUGGGGGGAACCCUGAUCCAGCCAUGCCGCGUGUGUGAAGAAGGCCUUAUGGUUGUAAAGCACUUUAAGCGAGGAGGAGGGUACUGGUAUUAAUACUACCAGGUACUGGACGUUACUCGCAGAAUAAGCACCGGCUAACUCUGUGCCAGCAGCCGCGGUAAUACAGAGGGUGCGAGCGUUAAUCGGAUUUACUGGGCGUAAAGCGUGCGUAGGCGGCUAAUUGAGUCGGAUGUGAAAUCCCUGGGCUUAACUUAGGAAUUGCAUUCGAUACUGGUCAGCUAGAGUAUGGGAGAGGAUGGUAGAAUUCCAGGUGUAGCGGUGAAAUGCGUAGAGAUCUGGAGGAAUACCGAUGGCGAAGGCAGCCAUCUGGCCUAACACUGACGCUGAGGUACGAAAGCAUGGGGAGCAAACAGG
rnacentral:rRNA from 1 species